UUAAACAAACGGCCCUUUUCAGGGCCACCAAUUUAUUCUAGAAAAAAGGAAUUUGCUAAAUGCUAUAUUUCGCACAUUAUUUCGUUUCUGACUGAGAGAAAAACUCGAUUACAAAUUUUACAUGUUAUUGUACAGAUUUAUAAAUAUCUUAAUCAAUGUCUGAAUUCAGUAUCAGUUUAUGAUCCACCUUGUUAAUUCAGGCAACCUUGCCCACUCCCCCUUAGCUCUAGUUGAAAUUCAACAUGGUCGCCGUUUGGCUUGUUGUUUAUUGGUUGCGGGUGGUGUGACAGCGAUUCUGUCGAUAAUUCUCAUUCUCACUGAUUCGGAUUUUUUUUGUUUAUUUUUAAUGGAAAAUAGCACCAAUCACUAGCACGAAGUAUCUGGUAUUGCAUUUUACCACGACACCUUUCGACCAACUUGAAAAAGAACUUGAAUGGCUGUAAAGAAGAGUUUACACCAAUUGAGAAAUGGUUUUCUUCAUUCUGAAGAUAAUUCCUUCAACUGAAUGUUUCAUGUGACCUCGUGACUUCUGGUCGCUUGUGACAAAAUAAUCCAAUUCAAGCUGUGUUUUCCAAAAUUUUAGGAAAUUCUAUUUGCGAGAACGCCAAUAUGUUCCAUCGGGAUAUUCGGCCACAUCAUCAACAAUCACAAGCUAUUCAAAUAUCUAUGCAUCACCUAUUUAUGUGCCUGAUCCCGUUUCACCCCCUUCACAAGUCAAUCAACCGGAGCCAGUGGAACGUUUGGAUUCAAAAGGAAGAGUUUCUCAGUUGGAAGAUCUAUAGCGGAUGCUGGAACUGCAGAAGAAGAUUCAGGAAUUGGAGAUCAGUUUGCAGGAAGCCAAAUCCAAACAGGCUGUUCCUCCCAGUGGAAUUAAGAGGCAGCAGGUCGUCAUCGACAAAUCGACAUCUGCAGCUAUUUCCACUAGAGCAAGAAGUCGAACUUAGUGUGUUCCUGAAAAGAAUCCUUCUAUCUCAUCGUCUGUCUCUUCUAAAAUUCUGAAUGAAAUUGAUCUUCUGCAAGUCCGAUUGAGCAAUGUGAUCGCCUCAACCGGAGCUGUCGUUGUCAACCGUCGUCGCAUUGGAAAGAUAACCGACAACUAUCAGGAGUCGAUUGGGCGUGAAGAAUUCGGUCAAGUCUUCAAAGGAACUUGGCACGGACGUAAAGCAGCCGUCAAAGAAAUCCGCUCUCCUUGGCGUUGCAGCACAAUCGUCGAGGCUCGAUCGUUCGCCAAGAUGAUUCAACGAGAGGUUGAAGCCUUUUCAGCUGUCCAGCACCGCAAUAUUAUUGGACUGCUCGGUCUUUGCAUGGAUAACGGAUCGAGUGAUGGUGAAACAUCGAUUAGAGUCUCGCUCAUCUUUGAAUUCACCAACGGAGGGACUCUUUUCGACCAUCUUUUCGGCGACCAAGCAAAAAAUAGCAAAUUCAAAUUAGACGUGAAUCAAAUGAUGCUGAUCGCUCGCCAUCUCACCGCGAGACUCUCCAUCUACUGCAUUCCACUCAGCAGAAGCCGGGCGGUUCAGUUAUGGUCCACCGUGACGUGAAAUCCGCCAAUGUUUUACUGCAACGGGAUGACGAAGGAAGAGUCGUGCGAGCUGUUUUGGCCGAUUUAACGUCUUCAUUUGGAUCUUAACGAAAGUGGGAGCGGCUCUGGCCUAGCAGCCAGUUUCAUGACAGCCGUGGUAGGUACCCACGGCUGUGUCCAUCCUUUGUAUGCGGAGAGUUCAACCUACAGACGGGUUGGCCAGUUUGCACGUCCUUCACUCUUAAAGGUCGCGGGGAAUAUUACGUUAAACUGUCAAUGCGGUGAUGUAGAGGUUGGGUGAGGACGACACGUGUUGCAUCAUUAUCAAGCAGAUACAAAAGCCGCAAGGCUCAGCCAUUUGGUAUUCAUUUUGAUAUUGAUUGUUGUAGACCCUUCCCCAGCAACGUCAACCUAAAGAAGGGAAGGCAAGUUUCCAUUUUCUUCAAUUUUGAAGGUCACGGAGAUACCAUUACGUUAAACGUGUCAUGUGGAGUAGAGGUUGGGUGAGAACGGGAAGUGUUCCAUCAUUAUCAAGCAGGUCCAAUAGCCGCAAGGCUUAAGAGGUUAGGGUGAGAAAAAAAUCGUAUAUAAUGUGAGAGAAAAGGCGAUCUUAAGUAGUCGAGUGAGCACCUCCGACACGGCAACAACCGUAGCGCACUGUCACCAACUCCCUCCUUCCUCUCAUCGUACAACCAAUUCGCAAUCAUGGGAGAAAAAAGGCCAAAGAAAUCAGUCGAGCGAUCAUCUCCGACACGGCAAUAGCAACUGCAGUGCACUAUUUUUGUCAUCAAUUGAUUCUUCAUCAGUUCGUAAUCAUGGUUAAUUAUGGCGUUGUGCUGCUGUUGGGUGUUGUACCGUUGAUUCCUGAGUCGACCACGAGUAUACCGAUGUCUCCUGGAUACGGUGGCCCCGAGUUACUUCAUCAAAGCGCCCGAGUACUACACUGAGGCUCCCAAGUACUACACCAUCAAAGCUCCAGACUACUACACCGAGGCUCCAGUUUAUUACACCACUAAAGCAAUCGAAUACUACACCGAAGUGCCAAAGUACUACACUGCGAUCUACGCUGCCCCAGCUUACACCACCAAGGGACCGGAGUACUGCACCAUAUUACGCUGCUCCAGUUCACUACACCGCCGUGAGACGCAACCACAUCUGAGGCAGCCAGUAUUACUGCACAGCGGCUUCUUCUUAGUACUACAUUGAACCGGAAUACUACACUGAUGCUCCAGUUUACUACACCACAACCUACGUUACACCUAGAUGCUACACCGAAGCCCCCAAGUACUGCACCGGCAAGGCCGAAUAUUACACAACCACGUUUGCUGCCCCAGUCUACUACACCGAGAUACUCAAGUAUUUCUCUGCUCCAGCAACUACCGAACAGUGGCUCCUGUUGACUACACCAUCUAUGCCCCGGGGUUUUACAGUACAACCUACGCUGCCCCCAUCUACACCACCAAGGCCCACACAACCAAGGCACCCGAGCUACUACUUAGGCUGCUCCGACCUUCUGCACCGGUAUUCCACUGCCCCGAGUUACUACACCACCAAGGCACUUGAAUGUUACAUCACAACCUACGCUUCUCCAGUUUACUACAUAAUGGUGAAGCCAGAAAUGGAAAUAGGUAUGGGCCCAACGGGUCUUGCUUUAAUCCUCUUGUGUCUCUUCUUCAAGAUGAACCGUCUGGAAUAUUUGUUUGAUUUUUUUAAAUGUGAAGUAGAGAGGGUAGAGACAAUAUUUUGAUAGAAGAGGAAAACAAGUGCUUUCGACUUAUUUUAAAGAAGUUCUACAUAACACGUGGGGUUUUGUGUUGAAAUUUGUUGGUAUAGUUAAAUGUGUGCGGGUCAUGACUCAUGAGUUGCCAAGUUGAAGCUUAUUUUCUGCUAGAAAUCACUUGAGUAGAAUAACCAAUGAAGCGUUGUUGACACUUAACUUGCAUCUGACCGUGUGGAAGGCCUUUUUAGUUUUUUUUAAUGUUACGUCAUUUUUAUAAUCAUUCUCAUCUAAUUUCCCCAUGUCAAUUGCUAAUUCGAAGGUCACUGAUUAUUACGUAAAAAUUUUGCCAUGUAGUGGUGUAGAGGUUGGGUAAGAACGGGACGUGUUUGAUCAUUAUCAAGCAGGUAAAAUUGCCGCAAGGCUUAAGAUGAAAAAGGUUAGGGUGGGAAAAAGUCGUAUAAAAGGAGAGAAAAGGCGAUAAAGAUCAUUCUAGUGAGCAUCUCCAACACGAUAACAGCUGCUUUCUUCCAAUUCUCAAUCAUGGUUAACUAUCCGUGCUGUUUGGUGCAUCGUUGAUGGUCGAGUCGUCCACUGGUGUACGGAUGACCCCUGAGUGUGGCAGAUACCCAACCGCAACGCUACUGUCUUACUACACAACAAACAUACGCAAACAGUUCCUACACCCAAAAGGCCGUAUAUUACACAAGGGCGUAUGCUACACCAGUUUACUACACCGAGGAAUUCAAGUAUUGCUCUUCUCCGAGCAAACACCAAACAGAGGCUCCUGUUAACUACACUACCAUCGCCCUCGAGUGUUACACUACAACCUACGCUGCCCCCAACUACUACACUGUAGCUCCGAAGUGCUACACAUCAAUGCACAACCAAUUCGCAAUUGUUUAUUUUGACGUCGCGCUGCUGUUGGUUGUUCUAUCGUUGCUAAAGUGUUGACCACUGUACCGAACUCCACCGACUUUGGGGAGAGAAAAAAUCGGAUAAAAGAAGAGAGGAAAGGCGAUUUAUCAAUUGAAUGAGCAUCUCCUACCCGGCAGCAAUUGCAUUCUUCCAAUACUCAAUCAAAGGAGUACGACACCACCAAGGCAGCGGAGUACUACACCACCAAGGCAGCGGAGAACUACACCACCAAGGCAGCGGAGAACUACACCACCAAGGCAGCGGAGAACUACACCACCAAGGCAGCGGAGAACUACACCACCAAGGCAGCGGAGUACUACACCACCAAGGCAGCGGAGUACUACACCACCAAGGCAGCGGAGUACUACACCACCAAGGCAGCGGAGUACUACACCACCAAGGCAGCGGAGUACUAUACCACCAAGGCAGCGGAGUACUAUACCACCAAGGCAGCGGAGUACUACACCACCAAGGCAGCGGAGUACUACACCACCAAGGCAGCGGAGUACUACACCACCAAGGCAGCGGAGUACUACACCACCAUGUAUGUUGCCCUUGCCUUUUAGACCGAGGCUCCCAAGUACUACUCCGUUCCCAGCUACAACACCGAGGCUCCAGCUUAUUACACCACCAAAUCGGUCAAAUAUUACACAGAAACGCCCUAGUACUAGUAUUUUAUCAACUUUGCGUCAGUUGUCUAUUGGUGUUGGAUUUCUUCAAGACCGGUAUGCUGAAUUGUGAAUUGUUUGUGUUAUAUUUUAGAGGUGACUACUGCCUUAUUCAUACGGACAUGUUCUUGUGGUUCGACGAUGAUAUUUCAAGGACUAGUUACGAGACAUUUGUAACUGUAGAUUUUAUCAAAUCUUAUAAGUAAUGGGAAAGUGGCUGACCUUUGUAAAAAUGAAAGACUUUGAAGUUGAGAGAAAUAUAUUGAUACAAUUUCAUAACAAAA